AGCUAAGCGAGAACAACACAAUAGGUUUGUAAGAGGGGUUGAGCCCUGUUGGUUAUUAUCAUCUAUCUAGCGGCUAAUAUAUCGAUGGAUAUGUGUCGGGGUCACGUGGAAUAGGGCUUCUGUAGGACCUUCACCAAGGUGUUAGGGGUUUUGAUUGAUUCAUCCCCUCUACCACCAGCAUGGCGCUGGUGGUGAUUUGAGCUCCUUUGCCCAGUGGCCGUAGUAAUGCCUAACAGAGCGCGAUCACCACCAUAACUUCCGUCAGAUCGUUCAAUUCUAACCUCAAUCUCGAUCUAAAUCAGAAAUUAGCGCAAUUAAACUCGGGGGCGUGAAAUACAAUAAAAUUACCUGAUACAUACGGCGGCUCUUGCUCCACCUAUAUAUCGCUGAUGAUG
rnacentral:sRNA from 1 species